AUGCUUUGGCAGCACAUAUACUAAAAUUGGAAUGAUAGAGAAGAUUAGCAUGGCCCCUGCGUUAGGAUGACAUGCAAAUUUGUGAAGCGUUCCAUAUUUUU
rnacentral:snRNA from 1 species